rnacentral:rRNA from 1 species
AUUGAACGCUGGCGGCAGGCCUAACACAUGCAAGUCGAGCGGAUGAUGGGAGCUUGCUCCUGGAUUCAGCGGCGGACGGGUGAGUAAUGCCUAGGAAUCUGCCUAGUAGUGGGGGACAACGUUUCGAAAGGAACGCUAAUACCGCAUACGUCCUACGGGAGAAAGCAGGGGACCUUCGGGCCUUGCGCUAUCAGAUGAGCCUAGGUCGGAUUAGCUUGUUGGUGAGGUAAUGGCUCACCAAGGCGACGAUCCGUAACUGGUCUGAGAGGAUGAUCAGUCACACUGGAACUGAGACACGGUCCAGACUCCUACGGGAGGCAGCAGUGUGGAAUAUUGGACAAUGGGCGAAAGCCUGAUCCAGCCAUGCCGCGUGUGUGAAGAAGGUCUUCGGAUUGUAAAGCACUUUAAGUUGGGAGGAAGGGUUGUAGAUUAAUACUCUGCAAUUUUGACGUUACCGACAGAAUAAGCACCGGCUAACUCUGUGCCAGCAGCCGCGGUAA